UACGUAGGGUGCGAGCGUUGUCCGGAAUUAUUGGGCGUAAAGAGCUCGUAGGCGGUGUGUCGCGUCGGCCGUGAAAACCUGCAGCUUAACUGUGGGCGUGCGGGCGAUACGGGCAGACUGGAGUACUGCAGGGGAGACUGGAAUUCCUGGUGUAGCGGUGGAAUGCGCAGAUAUCAGGAGGAACACCGGUGGCGAAGGCGGAUCUCUGGGCAGUAACUGACGCUGAGGAGCGAAAGCGUGGGGAGCAAACAGG
rnacentral:rRNA from 1 species